CAUGACUUGAAGGCUGGAUACCCCUUGGUUGUGACAGAGGAAGCAGCAUCAGGACUCCACGGACGCUUAUGAAUGAAGAGCUUGAGGCCUGAAGAGGGCACAAAGAACAGCAUGUGCAAAAGAGAUGGCCAGAGCCGGGUGCCUGUCAUCCCAGCAGGAGAGAGGCGGUACACAUUUGAGGCCAGACAAGGCUAUAGCUGCUGAGAGAAUCUUCACUCUAAAUGAGUCCUCAGUUAAUAAUCCAAUACCAAAUGAUCAGUCCUGAAAUCAUAUACAU